AAAUGAUAAAAAAAAAUAACCGUGUUAAAAUAUAUUAUAUUUUCUUAAAUAGUACACAUUUUUACGAUACAUUUAUAAUGACAAAAAACCAACUAGUUCAUAUGACGACAACGAUAAUUAUUGUAUGAUGGUAGUUGUCUGAAGUCAUAAAAAGCUUAUCGGUAUGCUUAUUCAUUAGAGCGGUUCGAUUCCUGAAACUAUCUCUAGUCUGAUUAAGUGUGGUAACAGUUUAAGAUGAGUCAAAGAUUCUGGUUGAACAGUUCUCCUUCGACACUAACUGGAAGAAAUAAUUGUUUUAUCAUUUGUCUAAAUAGACUAGGUA